CAAAAUGAGGUUUUAAUACUAAAUAGAUCUUCAAGGAAUGGUUUUAUGAGCUGAGUAAAAUUUCAAGGUGUGGGCUUAUCUUAUCUUGGUCCCUAUAUUUAUCAUUAAUGCAUUAGGUGUUUGAGUUUUCAUCAUUUUAUUAAUGUUGUGUUUAUGUGUUUUGUUUGUCAAUGAUUGUUCUGAAACUGACGUUGUGAAGACACUUUUGAUUUAUUCCACAUAAAAAUGUCUUCAAUUUCAAAUUUUUAAGGUCAAUUUGGGAAAAAAAUUUGCCUUUCGUUUUAUUUUCAAUAUUUUUUUUUGUUGGGACUCUUGUUCUGGUUUUAUUUAUACUUUAUGCAUACUAAGAUGUACGUAUUUUCUAUUUGUAUGGCUCAUUUUUUUUUGUAUUGAAUUUUUGGCCAUAAGAUCAAUGGACAAUAGAAGGAAAAAUAAGAAAAAAGAAUUGUAGAUUGAUUUCUGGGCUAUGGUUUAGUACUUGAUGCAGGAAAUUAAUAUAGCUAAUAUAGAAGUAAAGAAAUUAGUGAGAAAUUGAUGAAUGAUUAUGUUAAGCAAAUAAAUUUGGUGAAAAUGAUUAAAUUUCUGUAAUUCGCAGACGUUUUGUUAUUUUAGUUACAAGCUCAAAAUAAUUUUGUUUAGAUUUAUCUAUAGGUUCAACCAGAACAUUUCAUAGUAAGGUGAUUUUCAGAAAAGCAAAUGCUUAAUACGGCCAAUAUCAUUUUUAUCAUCAUGGCAAAAAAACUCAAAUUUUGUUGUUGAUCAAAUUGUGCCCGCACUAAACAAUAUUCCUGAAUGUUCCCCUCUAGACUGCACCAGAUGUUCAGGGUUCCAACCUCCUCCAGGUCAUACUAAAGCUGUGGAGCUUCAGUACCUGUUGCAUUCUGUAAACAUGGUGGCGAUUCCCAGAUGCCUGGUGCUAAAAAAUCAAAGAAGCAAUGAUGUCCUCUGGUCCUGCCUUCUUGACCUUUAACUCCUUGACUAAUUAUUUGAUUUGGUCCUGUAUACUUGGUACUUGGUUGGUCGAUUCCCUCCCCUAAUUCGAUAGUAUACUUUUAAUUUUAAAAAAAGGGAAAAUAUUUGAAAUUUUGGUUUAAAACAUGAACUACUAGCAGUUGAUAGUAUGUAGUGAUUGCUUAAUUUGAUGAAAUUCAAUAUGCAUACCUAUGAAUUAUUUUAUGCCUGAGGUGCAUAUUAAGAUGUGCUAGAUGCUAAAUUUUGAUUCACUGCAUUAUAUCAUAAAAGUAUAUUUUCAAUCGAUUGAUGUGGCUUCUAAAAGAAUGAAAUAGUGUAUUUCCUC
rnacentral:lncRNA from 1 species